GGCUGAGUAACAUAAUGGUAAUGUAUUGGAUUGCAAAUCCUAAAAUGAUGGUUCAAUUCCGUCCUUAGCCU
rnacentral:tRNA from 1 species